rnacentral:rRNA from 1 species
UACGAAGGGUGCAAGCGUUACUCGGAAUUACUGGGCGUAAAGCGUGCGUAGGCGGUUUGUUAAGUCCGCUGUGAAAGCCCUGGGCUCAACCUGGGAAUUGCAGUGGAUACUGGCAAGCUAGAGUGCGGUAGAGGAUGGUGGAAUUCCCGGUGUAGCGGUGAAAUGCGUAGAGAUCGGGAGGAACACCGGUGGCGAAGGCGGCGACCUGGGUAGAUACUGACGCUGAGGUGCGAAAGCGUGGGGAGCAAACAGG